rnacentral:misc_RNA from 1 species
GGAAGUUGUCCAGCCCGAGUCGUUACUCCAACUGUAAAAAGAGGAGGAUGCCGAAGGUGGGACUAGUGACGUGGGUGAAGUCGUAACAAGGUAGCCGUACCGGAAGGUGUGGCUGGAUCACCUCCUUAAAGGGAGACUUCAGGUAAUGAAGUCAGCAAGAGUGGAAAGAAAAUGGCUGGACAACUAUUAAGAUUGGGUUCAUGGGCUAUUAGCUCAGGUGGUUAGAGCGCACCCCUGAUAAGGGUGAGGUCCCUGGUUCAAGUCCAGGAUGGCCCACUUAUUUAAAGUAAAGACUUUAGAUAAAAAAAGAGGGGGUAUAGCUCAGUUGGUAGAGCGCCUGCUUUGCAAGCAGGAUGUCAGCGGUUCGAGUCCGCUUAUCUCCAGGAACAAAUUAGCACCAUUGAAAAUGGAUGCUGAACAAAUGUUCAGUAAGAACCUUGAAAACUGCAUAGAAAAAAAAUAGGUAAAGCUGUAGAAAUCACAGACAGGUCAAGCAAAAAAGGGCUGAUGGUGGAUACCUAGGCACACAGAG